AUGUCGACCGACGCCGACCGUGCCUCCGCUGAGAAGGCCGCCGAGGAUGCCGCGGCUACUGCCGCCGCCACCGCCGCCGCAUGGCCGAUUGGAUGGUAUACAUCGUUUAUCCCUUUCAUGUUUCUUUCUGUUGUAGCAGUACUAGCGAUAUGCGUAGAUGUUUCUACUAUAUGCGUAGUACAUGCUCUGUUAGAUCGUAACCAAUAUGUUAUCAAUACUGUCAAUGUCAUGCUCAUGAUUUAUUCAUGGAUUAAUUUAAUCGGAAAACUGCCUAUUUUCUUAUCAAAUGCAACUGACACAGCACCUGUCAUGAGAUCUGGCCACCAAAUAAUAACUUGA
rnacentral:rRNA from 1 species